rnacentral:rRNA from 1 species
UACAGAGGCCUCGAGCGUUAGGCGGAAUCACUGGGCUUAAAGCGUGUGUAGGCGGACCCCUAAGUACCUUGUGAAAUCCCACGGCUCACCCGUGGAACGGCUGGGUAUACUGGGGGUCUUGAGCCACCUAGGGGCGAGUGGAACAAAUGGUGGAGCGGUGAAAUGCGCAGAUAUCAGGAGGAACACCGGUGGCGAAGGCGGUUCUCUGGGCAUUACCUGACGCUGAGGAGCGAAAGUGUGGGGAGCGAACAGG